UACGAACUGUGCGAACGUUAUUCAGAAUCACUGGGCUUACAGGGUGCGUAGGCGGUUUGUCGCGUCGGGAGUGAAAUCAUCUGGCUUAACUGGGUGCUUGCUUUCGAUACGGGCAGACUAGAGGUAUGCAGGGGAGAACGGAAUUCCUGGUGUAGCGGUGAAAUGCGCAGAUAUCAGGAGGAACACCGGUGGCGAAGGCGGUUCUCUGGGCACUUACUGACGCUGAGGAGCGAAAGCGUGGGGAGCGAACAGG
rnacentral:rRNA from 1 species